GAGUUUGAUCAUGGCUCAGAUUGAACGCUGGCGGCAUGCCUUACACAUGCAAGUCGAACGGCAGCACGGGAGCUUGCUCCUGGUGGCGAGUGGCGAACGGGUGAGUAAUGCAUCGGAACGUAUCCUGGAGUGGGGGAUAACGUAGCGAAAGUUACGCUAAUACCGCAUAUUCUGUGAGCAGGAAAGCGGGGGACCUUCGGGCCUCGCGCUCUUGGAGCGGCCGAUGUCGGAUUAGCUAGUUGGUGAGGUAAAGGCUCACCAAGGCGACGAUCCGUAGCAGGUCUGAGAGGAUGAUCUGCCACACUGGAACUGAGACACGGUCCAGACUCCUACGGAGGCAGCAGUGGGGAAUUUUGGACAAUGGGGGCAACCCUGAUCCAGCCAUGCCGCGUGAGUGAAGAAGGCCUCGGUU
rnacentral:rRNA from 4 species